rnacentral:rRNA from 1 species
GAUGAACGCUGGCGGCGUGCCUAAUACAUGCAAGUCGAGCGAACAGACGAGGAGCUUGCUCCUCUGACGUUAGCGGCGGACGGGUGAGUAACACGUGGAUAACCUACCUAUAAGACGGGGAUAACAUCGGGAAACCGGAGCUAAUACCGGAUAAUAAAUUGAACCGCAUGGUUCAAUAGUGAAAGACGCAUUUGCUGUCCCUAAUAGAUGGAUCCGGGUCGCAUUAGCUAGUUGGUAAGGUAAGGGCUUACCAAGGCAACGAUGCUUAGCCGACCUGGGAGGGUGUCCGGCCACACUGGAACUGAGCCCCGGUCCAGACUCCUCCGGGAGGCAGCGGUGGGGAAUCUUCCGCAAUGGGCGAAAUCCUGACGGGGCAACGCCGCGUGGUUGAUGAAGGUCUUCGGAUCUUAAAACUCUUUUAUUGGGGAAGAACAUAUGUGUAAGUAACUAUGCACGUCUUGACGGUACCUACUCAGAAAGCCACGGCUAACUACGUG